CUCUCUCUAAAUCUCUGUAAUGUUACUGUGGAUCUUCACUGAGCUUGUUCUGAUGAAUGUUUUGUGGGCAUGUGUAAUUUGUUGAUCUUUUAUGGUUGUUGAGUUGGAUCUAGUAGUCUUGCUUAAUGCACUAUUUGGUUGCUGAGCUAUGAAGCAUGGGUACUUCAAAAAUGGUGUCGUAUGAGUAUCGAGUACUUAUCGGGUGUGGGUACUCGUACUGGUACAGAUGCACAUGUACUGGGUGUGGUGAAUAUAUGCUGGGUACGUAUGACAAAUACGUUUGGGUACGUUGUGGGUAUGGCAGGGUUGAAAAUUUAAAUUUUCUUAUAUAUGAAGGGUACUGGAGCAAAUUUUGUGGGUAAUUAAGAAAAAAUUAUAAAUUUGGGGGUCAUUUUGUAAUAAUCAAAACAUAAACAAAUUAGGUUUAUGUUAUACGCAACCAGCAGCAACUCUUUGACUACGAAGAAGACGAAGACGGCUUUGAUUUUUCAGUAGCAACAUUGGUUCGAUUUUUUAGCUGUUCUUCGGUUUUUCAAUAGCAACUGUGAUUCGAUUUUCAACUAUUCUUCAACUUUUCGCAGCAAUUUUUCAUAGAGCUACUAGAAUUUGUUGUAACCUUUAUUAUUCUUCUUUCUUCGAAAAUUAUCAGGUUGAUCCACGAAACGAUGUCAACAACCAAAAUCAUUAUGAGUGAUAUUUUAGUAAAGAUGUUUUCUUAUAUUCUAUUUCCUGAUUGUACCAACAUGGUAAAAGCUUUUUGCACUUAUGAUUUUGAAAAUAUGAAUGAGCAUUUUAUCUGUCUGAUCAAUAAGAUAUUUGUAAAUGUAAUUGACUAUGUAUAAAUGUAUUUGACAGACCCUUCUGAGAUGUCUGAUAUGUGUUGACCAGAUGGUCAUUAUACAUCUGUAAUGGAUUGGACCCUAGGUCAUUCCGUCAUGUUAUGAUAUGUUUUGUUCUGUUUUUUUUGCUAUAUGUUGGACCAAAGAUCAUUCUGUCAUGUAUCCACUAUGCAAUGAUUUUACUAUAAGAAUGAUUUUAUUUAUGUAAUAGAACUCUUUUAUAUAAUCUAUUUACUCUGAUGUUAUUCAUUGGAUUUUAGCUCACUCCAUUAUAUAUAUGUAUGUAGGUGAGUAGUGGGAUACCUAACCUUAGAGAAGUCUUGUGUGUAUCCAAGUUUUGUGGAGUUAGCUAAGGAGCGCCUCAUGGAAGAGGCUUUUGUCUUUUGAUUUUUUGUUUUCUUUUGUUGGUCAUGUUAGAUUGAGUUGUACAUAAGCUUUUGAGUUUUGAAUGUUAAUGACUUGUGAAUGAUCUAUGGAUAUGUAAUAUCUAUUUGACUGAAUAUGAGUGUAAGUUAUUAAUAUAUAAAAUGUUUUUGUUCAUACCAUAUAUGCACAAGUUCAUUGGACAAAUUCUAUUAUUCUGCUUCCGCUUCUGGCCCCAUAUAACUAAAUCUGAUUUGAAUUUUGUCUGAGACCAUAAGUAAUCUCAUGAUUACUAGUCGGUUAUGAUCCAAACAUCUAGGGACGGAUUCAUUUCAUGAUAAGUUUAUCCAAGAACUAGAUACACAAAUACACACAAGUAAUUCUAUAUUUACACCAUUACUCAACUAAAAACAAAGUGCACAACUACAAGCUAGUAAUUCAAGUGGAGCUCAUUACACAGCAUCUCCAUGUAAGGUUAAACAAUUGGCUAACCCACCUUAUAUUGUAAAUAUAUAUAUAUAUAUAUAUAUCACUACUAAAAAUCUUACUUUUUGCCUCUAUUUUUUUUGUGACGGAUUAUGUGGCCGUCGCAAAAAAAUUACUUUUUACAUUAAAAUAUCAUUUUACUUGACCCAAUCGUGUUCUUAACCCAAAUAAUAAUAAAAAAAUAAAAAUUUGUAAAACUUGCCCUGUGUCCCUUUUUUUCUUAUUUCCCAAAUCUGAACUCUCUCUCUCUCUCUCUCAAAAUCUGUCUCUCACUCGACUCUCUCUUUUGAAUCUCUAGUCUCUCU